ACCUACUGUCACGGAAUUACUCACGCAGGUAGUUCGUUGUCAACACAUAGACUGCCCUCUAAGACCAGUCACCACUCCCGCAAGUAGUCUGUCAACACAAUAGCGCGUAUAACUAAAACAUCAUAUCGCUAGGCCAAAUUCUGGAGUGACACUUGAAGGACAUGACCACAUUGAGUAUAAAUAGCACGUAUAACUGUCAAGCUCGAUGUGACUCAUACAAGC
rnacentral:lncRNA from 1 species